rnacentral:rRNA from 1 species
GACGAACGCUGGCGGCGUGCUUAACACAUGCAAGUCGAACGGGCCCGCCCCUGUUUUUGGGGGUGGGUUGAGUGGCGAACGGGUGAGUAUCACGUGAGUAACCUGCCCCCUGCUCCUGGAUAACUGCUUGAAAGGGCGGCUAAUACGGGGUGUGCCGGCUGGUCCGCAUGGGCCUGGUCGGGAUAGUUUCAUCUUCGGGUGUUUCGGUGGGGGAUGGGCUCGCGGCCUAUCAGCUUGUUGGUGGGGUGAUGGCCCACCAAGGCGGUGACGGGUAGCCGGCCUGAGAGGGUGGGCGGCCACACGGGGACUGGGACACGGCCCAGACUCCUGCGGGAGGCAGCAGUGGGGGGUAUUGCACAAUGGGCGGAAGCCUGAUGCAGCGACGUCGCGUGAGGGAUGGAGGCCUUCGGGUUGUGAACCUCUUUCUCCGGUGGUGAAGGCCCUGUCCGUUGCGGCGGGGUUGACGGUAGCCGGGUAUGAAGCGCCGGCUAACUACGUG